GUGAGGAAUAUUGGUCAAUGGUCGCAAGACUGAACCAGCCAUGCCGCGUGCAGGAAGACGGUCCUAUGGAUUGUAAACUGCUUUUAUAUAGGAAGAAACCCUCCCACGUGUGGGAGCUUGACGGUACUGUAGGAAUAAGGAUCGGCUAACUCCGUGCCAGCAGCCGCGGUAAUACGGAGGAUCCAAGCGUUAUCCGGAAUCAUUGGGUUUAAAGGGUCCGUAGGCGGUCUUAUAAGUCAGUGGUGAAAGCCUAGAGCUUAACUCUAGAACUGCCAUUGAUACUAUCUGUCUUGAAUAUUGUGGAGGUAAGCGGAAUAUGUCAUGUAGCGGUGAAAUGCUUAGAUAUGACAUAGAACACCUAUUGCGAAGGCAGCUUACUACGCAUAUAUUGACGCUGAGGCACGAAAGCGUGGGGAUCAAACAGGAUUAGAUACCCGAGUAGUCC
rnacentral:rRNA from 1 species